GGCUUUAUGAUGUAUAAAUAUGAAUUUAAAGCAAAGGUCAAAAUCUAGAACGUCCAAUUAACCUUUGACCUUGACCUCAAUUUCAAGGUCAUAGACUAAACAUCUCGAAUCAAAAGACACUAGUUCCUUAAUAUGUAAGGUUCAUGAAUAAUAUCACUUUACGCAUAAUUCUAAAUAUAAGAGGGGCGAAAACUCCUGUUUAUUGUCUACGCACCCUUGCAACCAAAAUUUAUAAGUUACGACAUGUCGCAACUAACAAUUUAGUAAAACUAAUUUGUCGAAUAUCUAUACGGUUAAUGAA
rnacentral:lncRNA from 1 species